AAGUAAUGCAGUGAAGUGAGUGAAACCCACAAAUCUGAAUUAUUAAAGCUGGUGUGGACGCAUAAAUAACAAGCUAAGACUCGUUCGACACAUCAUGUUUCCUCCAUUUACUUUUAGUGAAAGUCACCGACUCAAUGAACAUAACAGUCCUACCAGUGCAGAGCCUAUGACCUUAGGAUCUCCUGUGUCAAGUCCAACAGGCAAAUCUUCAGCUCAAAAUUAUCUUCCUCCAUAUUUAUUUGGCGAAGCUCCUGCUUCUCCU